rnacentral:rRNA from 1 species
ACGAGAGGACAUGGGAAGCUUGCUUCCUAUGAAAUCGAGUGGCAAACGGGUGAGUAACGCGUAAACAACCUGCCCUUCGGAUGGGGAUAACAGCCGGAAACGGCUGCUAAUACCGAAUACGAUCUUUUCGUCGCAUGACGAAAAGAAGAAAGGAUGGCCUCUAUACAAAGCUAUCGCCGAAGGAGGGGUUUGCGUCUGAUUAGCUGGUUGGAGGGGUAACGGCCCAACAAGGCGAUGAUCAGUAGCCGGUCUGAGAGGAUGAACGGCCACAUUGGGACUGAGACACGGCCCAGACUCCUACGGGAGGCAGCAGUGGGGAAUCUUCCGCAAUGGACGAAAGUCUGACGGAGCAACGCCGCGUGAGUGAAGAAGGUCUUCGGAUUGUAAAGCUCUGUUAUACGGGACGAAAAAGACGGAUGCCAACAGUAUCCGUCCGUGACGGUACCGUAAGAGAAAGCCACGGCUAACUACGUGCCAGCAGCCGCGGUAAUACGUAGGUGGCAAGCGUUGUCCGGAAUUAUUGGGCGUAAAGGGCGCGCAGGCGGUUCGGUAAGUCUGUCUUAAAAGUGCGGGGCUUAACCCCGUGAGGGGACGGAAACUGUCGAACUUGAGUGUCGGAGAGGAAAGCGGAAUUCCUAGUGUAGCGGUGAAAUGCGUAGAUAUUAGGAGGAACACCGGUGGCGAAAGCGGCUUUCUGGACGACAACUGACGCUGAUGCGCGAAAAGCGUGGGGAGCAA